rnacentral:rRNA from 1 species
UACGUAGGUGGCUAGCGUUACUCGGAAUCACUGGGCAUAAAGGGCGUGUAGGCGGACAUGUAAGUCCGGUGUAAAAUCCCCCGGCUCAACCGGGGAAGGUCAUUGGAUACUGCGUGUCUUGAGUGCGGGAGGGGAGAAUGGAACUCUUGGUGGAGCGGUGAAAUGCGUAGAUAUCAAGAGGAACGCCGGUGGCGAAAGCGGUUCUCUGGCCCGCAACUGACGCUGAGGCGCGAAAGCUAGGGGAGCAAACGGG